GCUUCAGUGGCGCAGUGGUAGCGCGUGGGAUUGCAGUUUGCUACUAUCCUUAGGUCACGCGUUCGAAUCGCGUCUGGAGCU
rfam:Aspergillus zonatus CBS 506.65 unplaced genomic scaffold ASPZOscaffold_4, whole genome shotgun sequence.